rnacentral:rRNA from 1 species
AUGAACGCUGGCGGCGUGCUUAACACAUGCAAGUCGAACGGAAAGGCCCAAGCUUGCUUGGGUGCUCGAGUGGCGAACGGGUGAGUAACACGUGGGUGAUCUGCCCUGCACUUUGGGAUAAGCCUGGGAAACUGGGUCUAAUACCGGAUAGGACCAUCGUUUAGUGUCGGUGGUGGAAAGUUUUUCGGUGUGGGAUGAGCUCGCGGCCUAUCAGCUUGUUGGUGGGGUAAUGGCCUACCAAGGCGUCGACGGGUAGCCGGCCUGAGAGGGUGUACGGCCACAUUGGGACUGAGAUACGGCCCAGGCUCCUACGGGAGGCAGCAGUGGGGAAUAUUGCACAAGGGGCGCAAGCCUGAUGCAGCGACGCCGCGUGGGGGAUGACGGCCUUCGGGUUGUAAACUCCUUUCGCCAAGGACGAAGCGUUUUGUGACGGUACUUGGAGAAGAAGCACCGGCUAACUACGUG